rnacentral:rRNA from 1 species
AUGGGCUAUUCGGACUCCGAUUGGGUGGGAGACAUAGUGGAUAGGAAGUCCACUUCCGGAGGGUGCCAAUUUCUUGGUUGCUCUUUGGUGAGUUGGUCUUCCAAGAAGCAAAGUUGUGUGUCUCUCUCGUCCACCGAAGCGGAGUAUGUGGUCGCUGGUAGUUGUUGUGCACAACUUCUAUGGAUGAGGCAAACUUUAAAGGAUUACGGUGUCAUUUGUGACAAAGUGCCUCCUUGGUGUGAUAAUGAAAGUGCCAUCAAGAUUUCUCUCAACCCGGUUCAACACUUCAAGACGAAGCAUAUUGAGAUUCGGUAUCACUUCAUCCGGGAUCACAUUAGGCGAGGAGAGAUCGAGCUCAACUAUGUCAACACUCAUGAUAACCUUGCAGAUAUUUUCACGAAGCCCUUGGAUGAAGCAAAAUUUUGCGAGUUAAGGCAUGAGCUAAAUAUCAUUGAUUCGAGCAAUGUUGCUUGA